CAAAUCUGUUGAAGUGAAGAACCUACUCUGUUAAAUACUAUUUAUUGCGCAACGAUGUUUCUACAAAUUGUCUUCGUAGCAGCCGUGGCCUUUUCAGGCUGCCUUGUCAAUGGUCAAAUUAAUCCGACUGGCUGUACUACCUAUGAUAACGCAGUGAUGGCUUGCAAUGCCCCUCUAAACCGAACUGGUGGUGCAAUUUUAAAUUACGCUGCGGUAGUCGGAGCUUUGACAACUGAUAUAACACCCUGGUGUGGAGAAAAUAGAGCACUCUACAGAACUCUCAUUAUAUGUGUUGUAAACGCAUACCGUGCUUGUGGGAAUGUGGACACAAUGAAACUAGUAGCUGGCAGUGGUGAAUAUGCUGAGGCUUUUGAUACAAUAUGCAACCAAAUCAAUGACUUCGAUGUAGCAUGUGUGGAUGUCGCCAGUAUAAACACAUGUGCAGCACCUAAAGGAACUGCAGCGAACCUUACCAUGCCAACACCCACAGCCAGCUUUGCUAUGUUAAAGACUUAUUACUGCGGGGUUGCCAAAUAUUUCUUGGAGUGUAUACCGUCCAAUGCCGCAUUGACUGGAUGUACUGCGAAGCCGAGGACCAAAGAUAUAUACUUUGCAGCGUUAGAAGAAAUUAAACCUGAUGAAUGUGGAGCUAUGUCUGUAGUUUAUACAUCUCUUCUACUGACUGUUUCUCUCCUUCUUAAUUAUAUUCUCUAAUUAUAUCUUGUAAUAUAUAAUACGUCCAUCUCUUCUACUGGCUGUUUCUCUUCUUCCUUAAUUAUAUUCUCUAAUUAUAUCUUGUAAUAUUUAAUACGUCCAUCCAUUCCGUGACUUUUUCUAUUCUUACAUUCUAUAAUUAUAUAUUGUAAAAUUUAAUAAGUCCAUCUCUUCUACUGACUAUUGUUUUUUCUUACAUUCUCUAAGUAUAUUUUGUAAUUAUGUAAUACGCGGAUCUAGUCUAGGGACUGUUUAUAUACUCUAAUUCUAUCUUGUAAAAUGUACAUACGUUCAUCUCUUCCAGUGAAUGUUUCCUUUCCUAUAUUCCCCAAUGCUAUCUUGUGAUAUGUAAUACGUUAAUUAGCCAUUGACUGUUUCUAUUCCUACUCUUCUGUUUCUCCCUUUGAUCUUCUUGCUUAUACUGUCUAUACUUAUAUUUUAAAUAAUAUAAUGUCACUGGGUAUUUCUAUUCUCUAUGAAGCUGGCAUGAUCAAAGAGUAGAUGAUGUUCAUCUGAACGGAAUAACUCUUUUAAGACUGCGCAGUUUAUUUUUCUUAGAUUGGUGGACAUUUGAUUGGUUUUUUUUUAUUUAAAACGUGUUUAUUUCUAAUAAUUUUACGCAUGUGUUAACUAUUUUUGUAUUGUAAUUUAUGAUGACAAAAUAUAUUUUUGGCCUUAAGGUCGGUGAUCAU